UCCAGGAUGUAACUAGAGAGCUACGGGU
rnacentral:piRNA from 1 species